rnacentral:rRNA from 1 species
ACCCGCUGAACUUAAGCAUAUCAAUAAGCGGAGGAAAAGAAACUAACAAGGAUUCCCCUAGUAACGGCGAGUGAAGCGGGAAUAGCUCAAAUUUGAAAUCUCACAACGAAGGUUGUGCGAAUUGUAGUUUAGAGAAGCGUCUUCGGGGGUGACUGGGUAUAAGUCCUCUGGAAUGGGGCAUCAUAGAGGGUGAGAAUCCCGUUUAUGAUCCAAUUGGUCAUCUCUAUGUGAUACGCUUUCCAAGAGUCAGGUAGUUUGGGAUUGCUGCCUAAAACUGGGUGGUGGGUACCAUCUAAAGCUAAAUACUGGCGAGAGACCGAUAGCGAACAAGUACCGUGAGGGAAAGAUGAAAAGAACUUUGAAAAGAGAGUUAAACAGUACGUGAAAUUGCCAAAAGGGAAACGCUUGGAACCAGCUUGUAUACCAGCAAUCAGCCAUACCAGCCCGAGAAGGGUGAUGGUGGUGCACUUGCUUAAAGCGUGUACUCGUCAACAUCAGUUUGGCUCUGAGUAGAAUGCUAGACGGAAGGUAGCUUGGGUCUCGGCCUGAGUGUUAUAGCCGUUUAUAGGGGGGGUUGCGACUUGUAGCGUGCCCCCCGUUGAUGCUCGGGGCUGGACUGAGGACAGCAGCAUUAUUUGGGCAGCCAGUCGCCUCUUGAACUUUGUUCUUAGACAGCUCGCUGGCUAGGGACAAGGCUAGGGAGCUCGGUUGGUGUUGCCACACCAAUGCUUAGGAUGUUGGCAUAAUGGUUCCAAACGACCCGUCUUGAAACACGG